AGAAUCUCGAAAGAGCUCUCAGUCUGUCAAUACCACAGGGAUAACUGGCUUGUGGCAGCCAAGUUCAUAGCGACGUUGCUUUUGAUCCUUCGAUGUCGGCUCUUCCUAUCAUUGUGAAGCAGAAUUCACCAAGUGUUGGAUUGUUCACCACCAAUAGGGAACGUGAGCUGGGUUUAGACCGUCGUGAGACAGGUUAGUUUUACCUACUGAUGACAGUGUCGCAAUAGUAAUUCAACCUAGUACGAGAACGAAACAAUCGCGCUUGGUUGAAAAGCCAGUGGCGCGAAGCUACCGUGCGUUGGAUUAUGACUGAACGCCUCUAAGUCAGAAUCCGGGCUAGACCGACGCAUGCGCUCGUCGCCCGUUUGCCGACCGCAGUAGGGGCCAUUUGGCCCCAAGGGCACGUGUCGUUGGCUAAGCCGUCGUGGCGGAAGGUGGCGCCUUGAAUUACAAUUCCGAUCGAGCGGCGAGCUGAAUCCUUUGCAGACGACUUAAAUACGCGACGGGUAUUGUAAGGGGUAGAGUGGCCUUGCUGCCACGAUCCUCUGAGAUUCAGCCCUUUGUCGCUCCGAUUC
rnacentral:ncRNA from 1 species